CCAAUAGCGUAUAUUAAAGUUGUUGCAGUUAAAAAGCUCGUAGUUGAAUUUCGGGAUUGGCGCAUCGGUCGUGCCUCACGGGGUAUGAACUGGUGCAGUCAAUUUCUCACCUUCUGGAGAACCGCGAUGUCCUUAAUUGGAUGCCGCGGGGAACCAGGACCUUUACUUUGAAAAAAUUAGAGUGUUUAAAGCAGGCAUUUUUGCUUGAAUACAUUAGCAUGGAAUAAUAAAAUAGGACGGCAUGGUUCUAUUUUGUUGGUUUCUAGGACCACCGUAAUGAUUAAUAGGGAGAGUUGGGGGCAUUAGUAUUCAAUUGUCAGAGGUGAAAUUCUUGGAUUUAUUGAAGACUAACUACUGCGAAAGCAGUUGCCAAGGAUGUUUUCAUUAAUCAAGAACGAAAGCUAGGGGAUCGAAGACGAUCAGAUACCGUCGUAGUCUUAACCAUAAACUAUGCCGACUAGGAAUCAGACGAUGUUAAUUUUUUAAUGACUCGUUUGGCACCUUACG
rnacentral:misc_RNA from 1 species